rnacentral:pre_miRNA from 1 species
UUGAUUUGUCCUAAGUCAAACUAUUCUAAGUUUGAUAAAGUUGAUAGAGAAGAGUAUUAACAUCUAACACAUCACUUAUUAUGAAAAUAUAUUUCAUAAUGAAUCUAAUUAGGAUCAUUUGGCAUCCUAAAUAUUAUUGGCCUUCUCUAUAAACUUGAUCAAACUUAGAAUAGUUUGACUUAGAACAAACAAAA